rnacentral:rRNA from 1 species
GACGAACGCUGGCGGCGUGCCUAAUACAUGCAAGUUGAGCGCUGAAGGUUGGUACUUGUACCAACUGGAUGAGCAGCAAACGGGUGAGUAACGCGUGGGGAAUCUGCCUUUGAGCGGGGGACAACAUUUGGAAACGAAUGCUAAUACCGCAUAAAAACUUUAAACACAAGUUUUAAGUUUGAAAGAUGCAAUUGCAUCACUCAAAGAUGAUCCCGCGUUGUAUUAGCUAGUUGGUGAGGUAAAGGCUCACCAAGGCGAUGAUACAUAGCCGACCUGAGAGGGUGAUCGGCCACAUUGGGACUGAGACACGGCCCAAACUCCUACGGGAGGCAGCAGUAGGGAAUCUUCGGCAAGGGACGAAAGUCUGACCGAGCAACGCCGCGUGAGUGAAGAAGGUUUUCGGAUCGUAAAACUCUGUUGGUAGAGAAGAACGUUGGUGAGAGUGGAAAGCUCAUCAAGUGACGGUAACUACACAGAAAGGGACGGCUAACUACGUG